rnacentral:rRNA from 1 species
UACGUAGGGUGCAAGCGUUGUCCGGAAUUAUUGGGCGUAAAGAGCUCGUAGGCGGUUUGUCGCGUCUGCUGUGAAAACUCAGGGCUUAACCCUGAGCCUGCAGUGGGUACGGGCAGACUAGAGUGUGGUAGGGGAGAUCGGAAUUCCUGGUGUAGCGGUGAAAUGCGCAGAUAUCAGGAGGAACACCGGUGGCGAAGGCGGGUCUCUGGGCCGGAACUGACGCUGAGGAGCGAAAGCGUGGGGAGCGAACAGG